UACGGAGGGGGCUAGCGUUGUUCGGAAUUACUGGGCGUAAAGCGCGCGUAGGCGGACCUGCAAGUCGGGGGUGAAAGCCCGAGGCUCAACCUCGGAACUGCCUUCGAUACUGCGGGUCUCGAGUCCGGGAGAGGUGAGUGGAAUUCCUAGUGUAGCGGUGGAAUGCGCAGAUAUCAGGAAGAACACCCGUGGCGAAGGCGGCUCUCUGGGACGGUACUGACGCUGAGACGCGAAAGCGUGGGGAGCGAACAGG
rnacentral:rRNA from 1 species